rnacentral:rRNA from 1 species
UACGAAGGGUGCAAGCGUUGCUCGGAAUCACUGGGCGUAAAGGGUGCGCAGGCGGGACAUUAAGUCAGGGGUGAAAGACGGUUGCUCAACAAUCGCAGUGCCUUUGAUACUGGUGUUCUUGGGUGACCUUGAGGUAGGCGGAAUGGGUGGUGUAGCGGUGAAAUGCAUAGAUACCACCCAGAACUCCGAUUGCGAAGGCAGCCUACUGGAGGUUUACCGACGCUCAGGCACGAAAGCGUGGGGAUCAAACAGG